rnacentral:hammerhead_ribozyme from 1 species
AUCCGCCUGAUGAGUCCCAAAUAGGACGAAACGCGUGUCUUAGAU